rnacentral:rRNA from 1 species
GACAGAGGUGCCAAGCGUUAGGCGGAAUCACUGGGCUUAAAGCGUGUGUAGGUGGAUGUCUAAGUACCUUGUGAAAUCCCACGGCUCAACCGUGGAACUGCUCGGUAUACUGGAUGUCUUGAGCCACUUAGGGGCUACCGGAACAAAUGGUGGAGCGGUGAAAUGCGUAGAUAUCAUUUGGAACGCCAAUGGUGAAAACAGGUAGCUGGGAGUGUGCUGACACUGAGACACGAAAGCCAGAGGAGCGAACGGG